rnacentral:rRNA from 1 species
UACGUAGGGUGCGAGCGUUAAUCGGAAUUACUGGGCGUAAAGCGUGCGCAGGCGGUUUUGUAAGCCAGAUGUGAAAUCCCCGGGCUUAACCUGGGAAUGGCAUUUGGGACUGCAAGGCUGGAGUUUGGCAGAGGAGACUGGAAUUCCACGUGUAGCGGUGAAAUGCGUAGAGAUGUGGAGGAACACCGAUGGCGAAGGCAGCCUUCUGGGCCAACACUGACGCUCAUGCACGAAAGCGUGGGGAGCAAACAGG